rnacentral:rRNA from 1 species
AGAAUCAACGCUGGCGGCGUGCCUAACACAUGCAAGUCGAACGAGAAAGGGGAGCAAUCCCUGAGUACAGUGGCGACCGGGUGAGUAACACGUGACUAACCUACCCUCGAGUGUGGAAUAACAUCGGGAAACCGAUGCUAAUACCGCAUAACAUCGCAAGAUCAAAGGAGUAAUCCGCUUGAGGAGGGGGUCGCGGCUGAUUAGCUAGUUGGCGGGGUAAUGGCCCACCAAGGCGAAGAUCGGUAUCCGGCCUGAGAGGGCGCACGGACACACUGGAACUGAAACACGGUCCAGACUCCUACGGGAGGCAGCAGUGGGGAAUUUUGCGCAAUGGGGGAAACCCUGACGCAGCAACGCCGCGUGGAGGAUGAAGCCCCUUGGGGCGUAAACUCCUUUCGACCAAGACGAUAAUGACGGUACUGGUGGAAGAAGCACCGGCUAACUCUGCGCCAGCAGCCGC